CUGGCCUCGCCUUGCGCCCACAAGAAUCCACAAAGGCACAGGGGCGGGGGUCUCCGGUCCAGCCCUGAACUUUCACCCGGGCCGCGCCCCUACGCAAAAGCGCCGUUUCCCUGGUGACGUGACGUGCCCGAGGGAGGGAGUAAUGCUUUCUGGCCGAUUGACGUGCGGCAGCCAUUUCGCGAGCAUUGGUUUACUGGUGGUCUGACCGCCGAUUCUGGAGUGUAGGGUGACUCCACCGCUCGGUGUUUUGUACUUGUAUUAACCACAUCCGCACUUUGGCCAUCGCCACUUGGCACACGGACGGUCAUGGACCAGAGGACUCUGAAAAUAAUGCAGAGCUGCAGCAACACAGGGUCCUGUGUGCCUACCCCUGUCAUCGGCAGCCCCCACACUAACAUAGAGUUGAGGAAGAGUUUCCCAAAGGAAUCUGAAGAAAGAAGAGUAAACCUGGGCCCACAGCAAAGGAUGGGGAAAGCUGUGUAAACAAGGAACUACAAUUCCUUCAAUCCCCAGCCAUCUUACACUUGACAGGAAGAUAAUAAGCAACUACAUUUUCUCCAUGCCAAAACCCUUCCAGGUUGUGAGUGCCAUAAAUAUAAUGGAUUGUACUGUACUCAUCACUAGUAUGACGGCAUCUCCCUCUCUCCAUAGGAUCUCAAUGAGGUGGUCUCAGUACAAUCACAAGAGUCCUUAUCAGAAGGAGGGGAGUCAGGAGGGUCAGAGAUAGAGAAGAUGUACAGAUGGAAUCAGAAGUGGAAGUGAUGCUAUUGCUGGAAGAGGACAGUGAGCCAAGGAAUGCAGAUAACUUCCAGAAGUUUGAAAAGGCAAAGAACAAAUUCUCUCCUUGAGCUCCAGAAGAAAUACAGGAGUCACUGCCUGUGUUUAGCCCCGUAAGACCAGUUUUUGGACUUCUGACCUCUAGAAUUAUAAGAUAAUAAAUUUGUGUUGUUUCAAGCCACUAAAUUUGAGUAAUUUAUUACAGCAGCAGUGGGAAACUUAAGUUUCCUUUAGUUUUCCACUUCUGGAAGUAAGAAAUGACUUGCUCCAGGAAUAUAAAAUAGAGAGGGGAAAGGAGCCUUAGAUCACUGACCUAAAUUUUAUUUGAUUAUUUGCUCUCUUUUGAAAGACUAGGACCUGUGACAGUAAUUUCAGUAGAUCACAUUAGAUGGUGCUCUUUCUUAGUUAAGUCAUACAAAUUAGUAGCUAAGAUUUGUUUUCACAAAGCAUAAUUUUUAGAAUAAUUUUUAUAGAUAUAACCUACAAAUGAACCACUUCCUUUGGCUAUUGUAGUUAAUACUUAUUAACACUGUACAACUUUAAGUCUUGCAGGUCUCUGUGACUACUUUGACCUAUAAUGGAAGCUCCUUGGUUAACCAAAAAAUGUCAAGGUUGAUGAAAAAAAUCAGGGAAUAACUAAGAAUUGUAUAUAUAAUUCAUGUUUAUUUUUUAGAUUUAUUUAAAAAAAUUUUAAGUUAAUUUUAUUUAUUUUGAGAGAGAGAGAGAGCAAGCAGGGGAGGGACAGAGAGAGAGGGAAAUAGAAUUCCAAACAGCCUCUCCACCAUCAGCACAAAGCCCGAUGCAGGGUUUGAAUUCACAAACCAUGAGAUCAUGACCUGAGCUGAAAUCAAGAGUCAGAUACUUAACUGACUAAGCCACCCAGGCACCCCUAUUUUUUAGUCAUAAAACAUAAAUGUACAUGCGCUCAUGAAUCUUGUGAUGGCUAAGGCCUUUUCUGUAAGAGUCCCUUGAUUGGUAUUUUAUCUCAUUGUUCUUAGAUAAAGCUAUCCUUAAAGUUUUGCCUACAACUUCCAGUUUUGGUUUCUUUAAAGUAGUAAGAAUUUAAAGACAUGUGGAGAAAAUUUGAACACAAGAAUUUUUAAAAUAAUUUUCCCACAUAUUGUGUCUGAAUUUUUAUAAUUUUCUCCCAUUUUUUACAAGAUUUUCCUCCUAACCUAUUUGACACUAUUUGUGUGUGUGUGUGUGUGUGUGUGUGUGUGUGUGUGUGAUUGAUCUUUAUCCAGAUUUUCCAAAGUACCCUAUUUUGGUUAUCAUAGAAAUAUACAAAUAGUAAUUUAAAAUUUGCAUUUAUAGCAUAUCUGCCUUUUUAAGAUAAAAGAACUGACAUAUAAGUUUUUGACAAAACAGCCAGCUCUUGAUAAAUAUGUAAAUCUGCUGAAGGCAGAAGUGGGCUGGAGAAGAGCCUUCUAAUAUCAAAUUUCCAGUGUGCUCUGGGAAUCGAUUUAUUUUACAGAAGGGAUGGAGAGUGCUGGGUAAUCCAUUGAUUAAGUAAAAGCAUCUAUGGUAAUCUUCUUUUCUUUUCAAUAUGAGUUUCAAAAGUGUUAUUUGUUAACUGACUGAUGUCCUUGCUCUCUGGCUUUCACUUACUUUAGAGGUUCACUUACCUUCUUAACUGCCCCACCCUAGUCUAGGUCUUCAUAAU